rnacentral:lncRNA from 1 species
GGAGUUUGUAGAUGGCUCUGUCGCAUGAGGCUUGGGAGACUGGAGCCUUGAGGAGAGUGAGAGAAUACAUUGCCUGGUGCUGCAGCCACCCAGACGAAGACCUUCAUUCAGGCGGACAGCAUCUGGCGAUCCUAUCUCUCCAGGAGACUCCAUCCACCGCUAAGGAUUCAAGGGGCUAUGCGUUCGAGGCCCUGAGAGUCACGAUCCCACUCAAGGCUGUCACCCUCACAAGUUUUAUCAAGAAGUAACUGAAGGUCACUGAAGUUGAUCAAGAUCACCCCAGCUAAUUACACCACCAGGACCACGGGUUGUGGUAAUCUUCAAGUAGGUGUUGAUUGUCUCCCGUUACUCUGAACACUAGAGGGAACACACAGUUCGGCCUUAGAAGCCCUCUGUCAGCUGCACGGUGAGUACAAGGUGUGAG